GAUGAACGCUGGCGGCGUGCUUAACACAUGCAAGUCGAACGGUGAAGGCGGAGCUUGCUCUGCUGGAUCAGUGGCGAACGGGUGAGUAACACGUGAGCAAUCUGCCCCUGACUCUGGGAUAAGCGCUGGAAACGGCGUCUAAUACUGGAUACGAGCUGCGAAGGCAUCUUCAGCAGCUGGAAAGAACUUCGGUCGGGGAUGAGCUCGCGGCCUAUCAGCUUGUUGGUGAGGUAACGGCUCACCAAGGCGUCGACGGGUAGCCGGCCUGAGAGGGUGACCGGCCACACUGGGACUGAGACACGGCCCAGACUCCUACGGGAGGCAGCAGUGGGGAAUAUUGCACAAUGGGCGAAAGCCUGAUGCAGCAACGCCGCGUGAGGGACGACGGCCUUCGGGUUGUAAACCUCUUUUAGCAGGGAAGAAGCGAAAGUGACGGUACCUGCAGAAAAAGCGCCGGCUAACUACGUG
rnacentral:rRNA from 1 species